rnacentral:rRNA from 1 species
AUUGAACGCUGGCGGCAGGCCUAACACAUGCAAGUCGAGCGGAUGAAGGGAGCUUGCUCCUGGAUUCAGCGGCGGACGGGUGAGUAAUGCCUAGGAAUCUGCCUGGUAGUGGGGGAUAACGUCCGGAAACGGGGGCUAAUACCGCAUACGUCCUGAGGGAGAAAGUGGGGGAUCUUCGGACCUCACGCUAUCAGAUGAGCCUAGGUCGGAUUAGCUAGUUGGUGGGGUAAAGGCCUACCAAGGCGACGAUCCGUACAUGGUCUGAGAGGAUGAUCAGUCACACUGGAACUGAGACACGGUCCAGACUCCUACGGGAGGCAGCAGUGGGGAAUAUUGGACAAUGGGCGAAAGCCUGAUCCAGCCAUGCCGCGUGUGUGAAGAAGGUCUUCGGAUUGUAAAGCACUUUAAGUUGGGAGGAAGGGCAGUAAGUUAAUACCUUGCUGUUUUGACGUUACCAACAGAAUAAGCACCGGCUAACUUCGUG